CCAUGGUGGUGUUGAUUUUCUCAUGUGUACAUCACACACUGUAACACGCAGUGGAUGCUGACUGCAGCUGAGGUGGAUAUCUGCGCGUAUUGACCUCAGAGGUAAAUAUUGACUGAGACAAAGGUAAAAUCGAUACUUACCUUGAGGGAUAAUAAAUCUGGAUAUCUACUGAAAUGAGGAGUCGAUAGGCGCAUUGUUACCAACACCGGUGGUUAUAGUCACCUGAGCAAGUCUGAACAGUGGGCGGUCAGGGGUGGUUUUCUAGGGAACUAGACGCACAGGGAGAAGUUCGUGGGGGCUGUGCCGACUGCCUCGGUGCCACUUCAGUGCUCCCUCUGUUUGCACCAGGUGAAUACCCCCACCCUACCCUCAAAAAAAGUAGCUCAGGCUCUAUUUUCAGAAGGCAGGGAGGGACUGCGUGAGGUGUCAGAGACGAAUGUCAGAGAAAGGUGAGUGCAGAGACCGGCGGGGCCAAGGAAAGCUCUGCUGGCUACAGGACAUGAUAGGAACAAGGUCUUUGCAAAAGUGGACAAGAAGCUUUCAUGCCCCUACUUCCCAGCACUGCUGUCACUCACUGCAAUCACGCCUGCUGAGUUCUGGUGAGUUGUGACUACGUGCCAGGCACUGGAGCAACCCUCUGACAGACGCGGUUUUCGUGGAUUCUCAUAACCCUAUGAGGUCCUGAAACAGACGCCUGGGCAUCCACCCAGUAUCUGUUCUCCAUUUCUCCCUUGAUGGCCAAGCCCGAUCUUGGUCAGCCAUGCCCCCUCCACCAUGUGACUAAAACUGGACUAUGAACCUUCAGUGGCCUAAGCGCCCAAUCAUGAUGGGUCCAGAUGUUUCCGGAGAUCAAGGCAUUGGAUGUAAUUCUGCCCAAUGAGAUGUCAGUAUAAGACUGAUGAGGGGCUCUGGGGAAAGGUCUCCUUUCCUUCCAGCGUUAUGCCCUCUGGUUACGGUGUUGGGAGUUUCUGCUGCCAUCCCGGAAUGUGGUGGGAACGCCAGCUGAGGAAGAAGCUGAUAGAGAACCUCAGGCAAGUGGAGCCAGACCAGGACAGUCCAGCUCUUCGAACACCCAGCCACCACAAGUCGAUCGUCCUGUUAUAGGCAACCCAGAGCAUCUCAGCCAAGAUACAGGCAUGUGCCAUAUUAGGCCCCUUUACCCCUGGCGAGACCCAGGCUUAGGAGUCUUAGGUGUCACACGCAGCAACUAGAACGCUAUAUAGCUCUAGGGUCUGAGUUCUUCACUGCGACGCUGCACCAUUCUAGGGCUGAUUCCCACGUGAGGCUUGCACCAAGAUCUACUGCAAGCGGGGUCCUGCGAGUGAAGCCUACCAGAAUUGGCCCUGGUCCACUCCGCCCGACCUCACGACUCCUUUCUCUAAGCCAUUAUGUCAGUGGCACCCGCUCAAGACCUCAUCUCUGCAGAGGCCCCGGGUUUAACACUGUGCUACUGCGUCGCGACACGCUUCUCUCUGCCUUAACAUAGAAACUGCAGGAGAGGUUGGUUGCCUUUCCUCAGCACACAGCACUGCAAUUCAUCAAAAGGCCUCCGCGCCGGAACCAUGCCACGUGCUCUCGAUGCUCCUUGUCCGACGCACUCUUGUCCAAAUGGAACGGUCCUUUUUAUCCUCCAGGAAGAAGGAACGACGAUAGAGUAAGGGCGUUUCCUCCGCUCUGCCUGGCCUUGGGCACCAUCUCGGAGUCGCCGGCCACCCCAACAAAACACCAUGAUGGACUUCUCGACACGAGUUUUCAACACAGCAGACUCCCUCAGCCCCCUCAGCGGAGCGUCCGCUAGCUUUCUCCCCUAUUGUUUCUCCCCUCAAAGACAGGAAUUGUCUUUCCCAUAUUAAUGUAAUCCUAGAAUCGAUCACAGUACCUGACACACCAGAGAAAGCACAGAAUUUGCUGAUCAUUAUGGAUUUCAGGGGUGGUAGGGGAUGUCAGGAACCAUGAAGUCAUUCCGGAACAUUCCAACAAGUAUCAACUCCUUACGGAAGACCCUCUCCCUUAGAGUUUUCCAUUUUUUUCUCACCUUCCAGCUAAGAGGCAGCAUCAUCGUGGUUAAUACCCCAUGUUUCUUAGUCUUUAGCAAAAAAAGAAAGGGGGGAGAAAGUUAAUAGACAGGUUAUGACACAGGUAAACUAUGGGAAGCCAAAAGAAAGUGAAGCGUCGUACCCUCUAAAUUCUCUUUUACCGUCAUAUGUCUGUAUUUUUACAGGAAAUCAGGGCUGUUUAUCAUCCAUUUACUGGUGAUCUUUAUGCCAUUACCAGAAACCCUUAAGCAACAGUCUCUCUACUGUAGCUUCUUUGCAGUGUCCAAGGGCACGAGCGACGGGCACACGAGGGGAGUCAAAGCCACUGAGGACCCAAGGACCACAAAAAGCUAACGUCUUCAGGAUUUGGGCUGAAUUAUACUGCUGCUCGUCCGCCUUCUCCAGCAAGUGGGACAUCUCGGUCUCGAUGACCACGUGAGCCAGUUCCUACAGUGAAUUGCCUCUGCUUGCCUGUCAGUGUGUGCGCGUAUGUAUCUAUGCAUCCCUGCAUCCAUCCAUCUCCGGUUGUUCUAUUUCUCUCGAGCACCCUAGUACAGGUAGAUGGGUCAGAUUAAACUAAUGUGUCCAUAUGCAGCCAUGAGCCCCAAAAGAGGCAGCGCUGAGUAGCUACUCAAUUACACAGACGGGAGGCACAACAGGGAACGGUCACGUCUUCCUCAAGGCCAAGGUCUCCCUGUCCUCCACCAUCAUCGCCACAACCACGACCACAAGGAAACCUGCCCUUCUCCACAGGGACUGUCCUGGAUGUCUCUCUUUAUGCCGAGCACCUUGCUCGGGGGCUGGUAUACAGCAGGUGUUCAAUCAAUUGAUGUUAAGUGAGUGAGAUGUUCAAGGGAUUAACAAGUACCCAGGACGCCUUAGCAGGAGUGAACACGGCUCAAGGGCUCAGGGGACGGAAGGACCUCACCUUUUCUGAGCCACCUCUGUGUCCUCACAGAACAAAGGGACCAACCUGUCACCUAAGUGGCUUUUGUAAGUGCCAUGAUUCUAGGCAUGAGAGCCUCACUCCUCUUCAUGACCUGCUUCAAGCACGUGAUGAAGCCGCUUCGAAAUCAGUUUCAGAGUCCAAGAAAGGGUGCAUCUGGUUGCUGAGCAAGAGCUUCCUGGCAGCCAGGCUCAUGUGAUGCAGAGUAGCCCCAUUCUGUCCCCCCAGGACAGCAACUAAGCCUUUCACCAGGGGCGGUCCCAGGCAAUCAAGCUGCUAAUUUAAUGCAAUGGCCUGAAUCUUCAUUAGCUGCACCCCAAACCCCUGAGUCAGGUCUCCUUCUGUUUGCCAAGUGCCACAGCCCAUUCACGUUUGGGGCUACUGUCACCCGGAGAGUAUUUCAAGGCCUUCAGCUGCAGCAAAAGAGUCACCAGGGGAAACUUCGCCAUUUGUCUCACCCACACUGACCCUCCCUGCAGCCAUGCAAGACCCGCCAGCAACAACGCCAGGGUCACGGCUGCGGUCAAAUGCCAUCAGAGCCACACGGGAAGCAGACACACAGAACAGAAUCCAACUGCAGAGCCAUGUGAGUAUCUUACCGACUUGCCACCACUAUGAAAGGAGGGGCUAGGUUCCUGGUAAACGCUCAUCUUUUCCAAGAGGGAGGCGCGGCUGGUUUACACAACCACCAGUAAACUUGCAGAAAAGGGAUGUCACUUAAAGAGACUUCACAUUUUCUGACGGCCUUCAACCGGCAUUCACGGGGACAAUCUGCACACUUCCCAGGAAGAACUCCUGGCAAGAAGAUCCCAGAACAGCUCGAGGCUGCAGCAGCCAAGCCACGAACGCUGGGCUCCAGCCCCUCAGGAACCCGGCUGAGGCCAUGACCAAGCACCUCUUUGUCUGGCUCGCUUCGAGACCUCUAUUCCCCACUCCGGUGCCUCAGAAUGCCUGGCAGGUCCACGCCAAAGAAAAUGACAUUUCUCCUGCUCAACAUCUCUGCUUACGGUAAUCAGGGGAGAGCAGCGAGCCAGUCCCAGGCUGCCAAGUGAUCGCUUGUUUCUAGGAUAAUCAAUAAGACACUUAUCUUGAAAGAUUCAUGCACGUUUGGAAUCAAUUAUGAAUGGGAUGAUGACAGAACUCCGAGACAGAGUUGCUGGAGUUUUGGUUUUUUUAAUUCUUACAAGAGAGUUAGCCUGCAUUUUGUUGGUUUCUCUGAAAUGUUAAGUUGAAAAACAUACUGUAAUAUGAAAACAUAGUAUGAAAAACAUAGUCUAAUAUGAAAACAUAGUACGAAAACAUAGUAUGAAAAACAUACUCUAAUAUGCCAUUACCAAAUAGCUAGCCUACCCUCAGGAUGUAACAGAGAUUUUGGAAUUCAGAUGCUGGAAUCUAGGGAUAACAUCUUUCAGGAUUUAAAAAAAUAAAUAAAUAAAUAAAUAAGGAGAGAUUUGCACGGAGGGCAUGAAGGGUUGCAAUGCCGUAGGUGGCAGAAAUGAAUCCUGGACUCAAAAGAAUGCUGACUCUGAUAUAAGGCUCCUCCGGUGAAAGACGUGGUCUUGGGCAUGUACCCUACCGGCCCCAAAGCACACUUCCCGAGGUCCACGAGGUGGCAAGGGCGUCUCAACCACAGGCUGUAGGGAGGAUGAAAGGGGAUUAUCUGCACGAGAAGUUUACUGCAAUCCUAAGCCUGCGAUAGUCAGUUCGCUGCUCUUACUCUCAGCAUUCUGACUCGGUCACCCUGAGCAAAUGACUUACUCUUCCUGCUCACCAUCACCUCGUUUCUGAAAUGGAAACAACAGCUAUGUUGCAAGGUGGCUGGGAAACAAAAUUAGAUAAUGAAGAAAAGAGCAUCUGAUCUUACAAUUAGCACGUGAUAGGUACUAAAAAUGCGUAAUAACUGUAUGGGGAAAAAAAUCACUUUGUUUUCCCUUGACGCUCAUGCCCGUGAUAUUUCUGACAGCAGAGGAGCAGGGUCUGUCUCACACUGACCAAUUCGCUGAGACAGGCUGGGUGUCCUGCGACGCGCUCACUUCCAACACCAACGGGACUCAGAGCAGACCCCUCGGGGGACCGGCUCAGUCCCACGGGGCUGCCCCACUUCACACGGCCAUCUCAAAGGCUGGGCCCCCUGGUCCCCCUAGACUUCUGUCUCAGAUCCAAGUCGAGGUUCCCAGGACCUCCUCUCGGGUGCUGUCACCUGCUAGAGUGGUUCAUGUAACCAGGGCAGCCAGAUUCCUCACUCUUGCCAUUGAUUACAAAGGCUAUUGUAAUGGGUGCAAAUGAAAGGUCUGAUCAAAGAGACACACAGCAUCAGGUCUAGAAGGAUUCUCAGCACAGGAGCCUCUCUGUCCCUGGGCAGUGACGGGUGUCACCCUCCCAGCUCACCAAUGUCUUCACCAACCUUUGGUGCAGGGAUUUCUCUGAACCCUAUGACGCAGGCAUUUUUAGGGAGGCCUCACCAUGUGGGCCACAUGGAUUAUUAAUUCAACGUCCGGCCCCCUCCCACUUCUCCAGAAAGUGGAAGGCGAGGCUGAAAUGUCCAAGCUUCUUAUCAUGACUUGGACUUCCGGGUGACCAGGAGCUCACCAGCAGGUGCCUCACUAGGACCAAAGAUGCUUCUAUCGCCCAGAACAUUCCAGGGGUUAGGCGCUUCCUGUCAGACAUGCCUGUCACUAAGGAGCUUACAAAAGUCUCAGAAGCUGUGUGUCAGGAACUAGGACCAGGAGACUAAAUAUUAACAGGAACCAGGGGGGAAGGCAAUAUAAGUAAUUCUUUUUCACGAUAUUAUUUGACUACGAAAAAAUUAAGGGAAGAAACCUGGUCUCACCUGUCCACUCAACACAUCAGGGAAGUGGGGCUUAGAGAGUCCUAUUCUGGCUCAGGCUGCCCAGAGCAACUACUCAUAGGUGGGCCUGGACCAAACCUCCGACCUUGACAGGUGCAGCCAGGACAGGAACACAGAAGACGACAGAAAUGCCAGACGGUGAACCACAGCACAGAACCCGUGGAAUGUGCCCAAGGUGCAUGGGCACCGGAAAUCUGCCCAUCUGAAGGGUCCAGGGGGAGGGCAGGGGAGCCAGGCCUCGGGGAGGGAGCCAGGGCUGGGCUAGACAGGAAGAAAGACUGCCGUGUCAGGUGACUCUACAGCCACUUAUGU
rnacentral:lncRNA from 1 species